rnacentral:lncRNA from 1 species
GCCAGACUUGGAACACUCAGGAAUACAGACAGACGUAGGAAUUGCUUAAAAACAAGAAGUUCUCCCACCCUUGUUGGAGCGAAUGCGCGAGUCUGACAGUGAACCUUUUGGGAAAGAGCCAGCAUUGUAACCGUGCUCGGUGACUUCUCUGGCUUUAUAGGGAACAGAUGUGAGGAUAGCAAGGGGCGCACACGUGAAAUGCCUGGCAGGUACCCCUUUGUGGCUCUACUUACUUCUUGCCAUUCCUCUGCCCUCCAAGUGUAGAGGGGACACCGUGGGCCUUGGCAGUCGCGUUCCGACUCCGGUCUGGUGUAUGGGUUGCACUCGGUCUCUCUGGCUAUUUUGUGUGUUCCGAUCUGACAGCCCACAUGCCUCUGCUGUACGCCUCGGCCACAGGACACAGAGCACUAAGAAGACAGAGAACGAUUCACAGUCUGGUGAGACAAGUUUGAGAUCUCAUAUUUUCAGCUCAUCCUUGAAAACCUUUCUUCGAUUUGACUGACCUUGAUGGCUCCCUGGAAUCUCACCUACAUUUUAUGGGAAAUUCAACUCUCCAGAGAGAAGAGCUUUCAGAUAGCUGCGGGACUUGCAACUGUGACUUUCAGCUUUCGCUUUUGAAUGAGGCUCCAAAUGUCUCAAUGGUGGCACUAUUUCCAGAUUUGGGGAGCCCUGCAAAGCUAAUCUGCUCAACCUUCACCUACUGGGUUCAAUGAAUAUGAAAAGCUGCCUUCCUGAAACUUUUCCUUCAAAGAGGGAAUGAUCUCCUGGAAUUCAAGCUUCUACAAGGUGGCUACCUGGUGUUUUCCACUUUUGCCGUCUCCUAAAAAGCAUCAUUCAAGCCUUGCCCUUUCAACCCACUGAACACAUAAACAUGCUUUCUCCUUAACUGAACUUAUGGCCACGAUGAACUUGAACUCUGAGAUUCACAGAGGAGAGUUUGUUUUAACAGCUGCUUUUACAAUGAAGCCCUGGAGUUACUACUCUCAAGACCCCUGGUUCUGAUAGGCCAUCUUUUCACUGUCCUCUGCAUUUUCUAAUGCCCAGCUGUCAAGGAACACCCACUGAAGUUUUCCAAAACAAAGGCACGAAACACAAGAAAGGCAAGAGAAUGCUAAUCACCAGAUGCAUGGGCAUCCUAUGGGGGAACCCCUUACAUGUGGAAUACGGUUUUUCUCCCCAAUUUAUUUUUAUAAAUUUAUUGAUUUCUUUGCUAGUUUGUUAUUAAUUGUUAGAGAUGUCCUGUUGCCUGAGGUUGCCCUGUCCGAUAUGGUAGCCACCAGCGACAGGUAGCUAUUUAGAGUAAUUUAAAAAUUACAUUAAAAAUGCAGUUUCCUUGUCACUUAACCAUGUUUCAAGUGCUCAGUAUUAACCACAUGUGACUAGUGGCUUCCAUAAAGGAAGGCAAAAAUAGAGAACAUUUACAUCGCUGCAGAAAGCUACUAGAUUUUUUUGGCCAAGGCAUAAGCUCUUUCUCAUAAGAGAAAGGGGAUGCAGAUCUUGCUAAGAGUGAUGGAUUUCUGGGUUCAGCCUACAUGAGUCAUCUUCCAUACUACCCCUGGACAUGCUUUCCUUGGCUGCCAAUUUUCUAUUUUAUAAAUUUCAGGAAAGAGAGAUUAUGGUUGUUAAAACCAUUCAUGACAAUGAUCCCACUUUAGAGAAAACAACAGCAACAAGCAAAGAAGAUGGUGUGGAGAUCCGCACAUUCCACAUCUUUUAAUUGGUACCCAUUAAAUAACAAAGGGAAAAAGUACCCUCAGACCACAACUCUCCACCUUGUGUGGAGGCCAAGGACCCAGCAGGGAGAAGGCAGAAGAUUAGGUUCUCCACUCAUCCUGGCUCUCAGACCACUGAACUCACAUUUGGGUUCUAAUGGAAUGGUGAUUGGAAGCAUAUUCUCCAAUAGGAGGUUUUUAAAAGUUCUGUGCCAUCAGCCAGGCAGCAUCUGUCAUUUAAAAUGACUGGCCAGUUGCACGUUUAAAAGCAAAGAUAAAAUUGCUAAUUUAUACUUACUGAAUAAACAUCAGCAGUAUCCAUGAAGGUACCUACCCUAAUAGCAAGUUGUAUUUUUAUUUUUAUGGUGGUGGCGAAGCUGCCAGGAAAACCAAAGCAUCAGUUCUUUAAUUACAUUUGUUUAGUAUUGAUUUAAUACUAAAAUUUCUCUUGCUCCCUUAGAACAAAGAGCUCUAACUUGUACACUGCUGUAUCCUUAGCACCUGGAACAGUCCCUGGCCUACAAUAGGCACUUAGAAAGUAUUUGUUAAAAAUUGAUUUUUUUUUUUUAAAGAAACAACCCAGAGUUUUUUUAUUCUGCCCCAACCCCCAACCCCUGGCAUUAAAAUAAAUCUUCCUCAACUGCCAUCACUAAUCGCCAGGAUUCCCUCCUAGCCAAUUAUGCUUGGACUCAACCUCUACCUCCCACUCCACAUUCCAAAGUUUCUAUUUCUUUCCAUUCCAGAAGGGCAACUCCACAACAGGAGUGAGGGAGAGGACCUGGACUCCUCCUCAGAGUCCAAUAACACUCCUAACCCUGCUCCCCCAACCUGUGGACUUUUUAAAUCCAUGAAAAUAGAACCUGUCAAGCUACCACAAAAUAGCAUCAGAAGGCAGGAUCAGUCUUUCAUAGGCAUACAAUCUCUGUAAAUACUGAAAAAAGAUUAUUAAAAGCCUGCUAAGUUUUGUCUCCAGUGAAAUAGAUGCAGGCAAGUAUUUUGAUUGUUCUGAACACAUUAGAGAUGAGUGCUACACAGAACUAAGGUAAACUUUGUAAAUUCGUAUGUCAUAACACUUUGUUCCACAAAAAACUAUCUUAUUUUUUAUACUCCAUACUGAUACAGCCAAAUAAUGUGGCUCUUAUUUUCUAAAGAUGCCAGCAAUAUGUUUAAACAUGUCUUCAUUGUAGUAAAAGUAUCAUAUUUAUAAAAAAUACAUAUGCAUUUAAUGUGAUAUUCCUUAUAGUCAAAAUCUUGAUAUCAUCCUGUUAAUCUGGCUAAAAAUGUAUCUGUAAAAUGAAAGAGAGGAAUAUUUUGCCAUUCCCUAAACAACAGUUGUUUGAAGCUUUUGUAAUUGCUGGUUAUGGGAAUUUACCAAUAACAGGAAUGAAUUUGGAUUUUCUUUUGCUGGAAUCAAAUGGACAAUGUCAUAAUUAGCUAAAUAAUGUUGAGGCUAAAUGAAGUUUGAGUUUUAGGCACAUCCUUUAUGGAAUAUAAACAGGAACCUAAAAGUUCAUUCUGAACAUAGGUUGUUUCUUUCUGCCAAAACAAGAUUAAUAGUCAGUACCCUAACGACAAGGUCCUAUCACUGAAGUAGAUUAUCGGCUAGUCAAAUGGGUUCCUAACAGCACCUCCCUCAUGGGUUAAAACAAGAGGGUUAAUGUGAUGUGUAUUUGCUUAAUUUGGCUUGUUAUACAGUAAACACACAGCAAACGUUAGCUAUUGUUAUCUUCAUUUCCUUUGGAGAAGUUAUCUUAUUUCUCACCUUAUUAAAAAUAAACCCUAACUCAUACAGGGACCCUCCUUACCUUGGUCCUUUCACCCAUGAAUACCAUAAUAACCUAUACUGCAAAAAGGAGGCUCAGGAGGAGGAUGAGGUAUCAAUAGGCCUCCGGGUCAUUUUUAUGAUUUAGGUAUUUUUUGAAAAGGGUAGGCUCUCUUGAAACUUCCAAGGUAGUUGUUGUAGUAUUUUAUUUUCCUUUCAUAAGAAAUGCUUUCUGAAAUGUAUUGCAGUGAACAAAUAACAAAAUUGACAAAUGCUGUAAGCCUUUUACAGUUAUCUGAACACACAGAAUAAAGUGUAAUCAAAUUUGUGCACAUUAGGUUUGCUUUUUCCUGUACCUAGCUGUCUCUUAUGUGUUCAGAACCAUUUCUUCCAAUCACCUUUUUUUGUCUUCUGGCUAUAAUUUAUCAUUAUCUACAAAUUCAAUAAAUGGAGCAUGCA